UGCUCUGCUGACUGCCUAUGGGCUGUGGGAUCCAACUGAGUCAGUAGGCCAGACAGCAAGCACC
rnacentral:pre_miRNA from 1 species